rnacentral:misc_RNA from 1 species
CCCCAGAUCCCUUAUCCCCUCUAAAACUGAAAAAGCUCUCCUGCGGCAACGGCCCCGAUCUCGUCUUUAUCCUGUUCAAACCUAAAGAUGAUGCCAAUAUCGGAGACACAGAAGACGCCGCUGCAGCGGCGGGGGCCCUCCCCACCCCCCGCCGUCGCAGCUGCAGCCUUCUUAGAGCCAGAAUUGGACAAACCCAGCCUACCCGGCGACUGAGAAGCACUUUCCUUACCUUUCAAAGAGUCCUUCUUCUUGACUCCGUCCUUAACUUGCGUUUGUCUACAAGC